AUUGAACGCUGGCGGCAGGCCUAACACAUGCAAGUCGAGCGGCAGCGGGACCUUCGGGUUGCCGGCGAGCGGCGGACGGGUGAGUAAUGCCUAGGAAUCUGCCUGUUAGUGGGGGAUAACGCGGGGAAACUCGCGCUAAUACCGCAUACGUCCUACGGGAGAAAGCGGGGGCUCUUCGGACCUCGCGCUAACAGAUGAGCCUGGGUCGGAUUAGCUAGUUGGUGGGGUAAUGGCCCACCAAGGCGACGAUCCGUAACUGGUCUGAGAGGAUGAUCAGUCACACUGGAACUGAGACACGGUCCAGACUCCUACGGGAGGCAGCAGUGGGGAAUAUUGGACAAUGGGCGAAAGCCUGAUCCAGCCAUGCCGCGUGUGUGAAGAAGGUCUUCGGAUUGUAAAGCACUUUAAGUCGGGAGGAAGGACUGUAGGCUAAUACCUUGCAGUUUUGACGUUACCGACAGAAUAAGCACCGGCUAACUUCGUGCCAGCAGCCGCCGUAA
rnacentral:rRNA from 1 species